GAUGAACGCUGGCGGCGUGCCUAAUACAUGCAAGUCGAGCGAACAGACGAGGAGCUUGCUCCUCUGACGUUAGCGGCGGACGGGUGAGUAACACGUGGAUAACCUACCUAUAAGACUGGGAUAAAUUCGGGAAAACGGAGCUAAAAACGGCUAAUAUAUUCAACAGCAUGGUUCAAUAGUGAAAGACGGUUUUGCUUUCACUUUUAGAUGGAUCCGCGCCGCAUUAGCUAGUUGGUAAGGUAACGGCUUACCAAGGCAACGAUGCGUAGCCGACCUGAGAGGGUGAUCAGCCACACUGGAACUGAGACACGGUCCAGACUCCUACGGGAGGCAGCAGUAGGGAAUCUUCCGCAAUGGGCGAAAGCCUGACGGAGCAACGCCGCGUGAGUGAUGAAGGUCUUCGGAUCGUAAAACUCUGUUAUUAGGGAAGAACAAAUGUGUAAGUAACUAUGCACGUCUUGACGGUACCUAAUCAGAAAGCCACGGCUAACUACGUG
rnacentral:rRNA from 1 species